AUAGCUACUUUUUCUAAUUUAAGAACCAAAAGUGUCUGGUCAUAAAAGUAAGAUUAAAAUGCCACCUCUACCGCAUUCAUCAGGUAAAGGCAGAAAAGAUCUUAUUGCCAAAAAACACAAAUCUCAGAAGGUGUUGGUUCCUACUUCAUCAGCAUUAUGCAAUAACGGAAGAUUUCAGCAUUACCAGAUUUCAGCAGUAGCAGUAGCUCUAAACGAUUGUCUCUUGCAAGGAAUGAGAACCUUUCAACUAAUAAUACAGAUACAAUAAAUAUAUAUGUUGCAUCAUUUCAAACAACUAUUUCAAAGUCGAAGAAGUAUACAGAAAAAGAUAUCAAACAUAGUAUUGGUGUGACUUUAAAACACGCUCCAUUGCGAAAAGGUGGUUUAAAAAAUCCAAGUUAUGACAACGAUUAAAAUCUCAAGAA